ACGGGGCGCAGCAGGCGCGAAAACUUUACAAUGCGGGAAACGCGAUAAGGGGAUACCGAGUGCCAGCAUAUUAUGCUGGCUGUCCACAUGUGUAAACGGCAUGUGUUAGCAAGGGCCGGGCAAGACCGGUGCCAGCCGCCGCGGUAACACCGGCGGCCCGAGUGGUAAUCAUUUUUAUUGGGUCUAAAGGGUCCGUAGCCGGUUUGAUCAGUUCUUCGGGAAAUCUGACAGCUCAACUGUUAGGCUUCCGGGGAAUACUGUCAGACUUGGGACCGGGAGAGGUAAGAGGUACUAGCAGGGGUAGGAGUGAAAUCUUGUAAUCCCUGUGGGACCACCAGUGGCGAAGGCGUCUUACCAGAACGGGUCCGACGGUGAGGGACGAAAGCUGGGGGCACGAACCGGAUUAGAUACCCGGGUAGUCCCAGCCGUAAACGAUGUUCGCUAGGUGUCAGGGACGGUGCGACCGUUUCUGGUGCCGUAGGGAAGCCGUGAAGCGAACC
rnacentral:rRNA from 1 species